CAGUCGCCGCGGUAAAACGUAGGUGGCAAGCGUUGUCCGGAAUUAUUGGGCGUAAAGGGCUCGCAGGCGGUUUCUUAAGUCUGAUGUGAAAGCCCCCGGCUCAGCCGGGGAGGGUCAUUGGAAACUGGGAAACUUGAGUGCAGAAGAGGAGAGUGGAAUUCCACGUGUAGCGGUGAAAUGCGUAGAGAUGUGGAGGAACACCAGUGGCGAAGGCGACUCUCUGGUCUGUAACUGACGCUGAGGAGCGAAAGCGUGGGGAGCGAACAGGAUUAGAUACCCCAGUAGUCCCUGUCUAUUAUAA
rnacentral:rRNA from 1 species